rnacentral:lncRNA from 1 species
CUGAGUCCAGAGAGCGGCACACUCCAUCUCAGUGAAGUAGCUCUUUCUGAGAUUCCUCAUCCGUGGGGCUUUUCAGUUAAUCAAGAGAGUAUGUCCAGGCUAGUCUACUUAGGCAAGGUCGAGGCAAGAGGAAGCUAAAUGGCUCUGCCUGAAAAGAGAAGACAGGAAUUUUUAAAGUGGGCAAAACAAGAAUGAUAAUAGGCAUGUCUCAAGGUUGCUGUGUGGACCAGCUAAAGCCCUAUGUAAGAAAGCACUUCACAUACAGAAGAGGGGCCUACAAAUUUGAGAACUAGUCCAGCAUAUUCUGGUUGGGUUCACCUUCUCUCUGAUCAUCCACCAUUGGCCACCUUUGGGUGACAU